CGGGUGAGUAACACGUGGAUAACCUACCUAUAAGACUGGGAGGUAACUUCAGGAAACCGGAGCUAAUACCGGAUAAUAUAUUGAACCGCAUGGUUCAAUAGUGAAAGACGGUUUUGCUGUCACUUAUAGAUGGAUCCGCGCCGCAUUAGCUAGUUGGUAAGGUAACGGCUUACCAAGGCAACGAUGCGUAGCCGACCUGAGAGGGUGAUCGGCCACACUGGAACUGAGACACGGUCCAGACUCCUACGGGAGGCAGCAGAG
rnacentral:rRNA from 1 species